AUGGCGUCGCAGCAGCAGAGCAGGAAGGACGCCGCGUCGAAGCGGGAGGAAGGCGGCCAGGGCGGCGUCAGCCUGGAGGAGAUCGGCAAGUUCCGCGCCGAGGCGCAGCAGAACUCGGCGGACGCCAUCCGCGCCGCGCAGGAGCGGUACAACCAGAACCUGCAGCACGGCGCCGGCGGCGGCGCCAGGGGGGCGGUCACCGUCACCCAGGCGCCUGGCGCCACGGUCAUCUCCUACCAGGAGCACAAGGCCCUUCCCGAGGGCGCCCAGCAGGGCCGCGCGGCGCACGGUCAGGGCGCCAACGCGCCGGCAGGGGGCACGACGGCGUCGUCUCGGGGCACCGAGAAACAGCACGCCGCGAAGCAGGAGGAGGGCCGUGGGCAUGGCACGGCCCACAAGGAGCAGAAGGGCUCGGCGGCGGUCACCCGUGCCGCCGAGGGCGGCCACGACAAGCAGGGCAAAGAGAGCGCCGCGCGCGGCACCAACGCGCCGGCAGGCGCCACGGUGGCCUCAUCUCGGGGUGCUGAGAAGCAGCACCACACGAAGCAGGAGGAGGGCCGUGGGCAUGGCACGGGCCACAGGGAGCAGAAGGGUUCGGCAGCGGUCACCCACGCCACUGAGGACAGGGGCAAGGAGGGCGACUCGGCAGCCGCCUCUGCGCGCGGCGCCAAGGACGCGGCCAUGCACGCGCUCGGCAUCACGGGAGAACAAACUGUGGCCAAGGGCGCCGGAACGAAGGACGCCGGCGCGCAUGGCGCGCAGGCCCGUGGGCAUCGUACGGGCCACAAGGAGCAGAAGAGCUCAGACUCAGCCGCGCGCACGCUCGGCUCCACUGGAGACUACGCUGCGGCCAAGGGAGCCCAAGCCAAGGACGCCGGCGCGCAUGGCGCGCAGGCCACCGCGGAAGGGACGGAGGAGGCCACGGCUACCGCCGCAGAGUACGCCAAACAGGCGGCAGCAAAGGCGAAGGAGGUCACGCUCACCACGGGCGAGAUGACGGCGGAGUACGCGAAGCAGGCCGCCGUGAAGGCCAGGGACGUCACGGUGAGCACCGGCGGGACGGCCGCGGAGUACGCCAAGACGGCCGCCGAGAAGGCGAGAGAGGCGGCGCUGGCGGCCGGCAAGACGACGGCCGAGUACACGCAACAGGCGGCGGUGAAGGGCAAGGACGUCACAGUCUCCACCGGCGGGACGGCCGCGGAGUACGCCAAGACGGCCGCCGAGAAGGCCAAGGAUACCGCGCUGGCGGCCGGCAAGACGACGGCAGAUUACACUCAGCAGGCGGCGGUGAAAACCAAGGACGUGACGCUGUCGACAGCCGCGCAAGCGGCGCAGAAGGCCAAGGAGGUGACCGCGGUCACGGCGCAGAAGGUGGCGGAGUACACGAAGGAGAUGGCGGAGCAAGGGAACGCCACGGCCGCCCAGGCCGAGGAGAAGGCGAAGGAGGCCGCAGCCCGCGCCGCCGACAAGGCGGAGGAGCCGAGCUUCGACACGGACACACAGGCCACGGACAAAGCCAAGAGCACAGCCGCAGGGGCGGCGGACAAGACCCGCGACACGGCCGAGCAAACCAUGGACAAGGCCAAGGACGUAACUGGAGACACGGGGAACAGGACCGGAAGCAUGGCUGCGCAGGUGAAGGACACGACCGGAGCCAUGGCGCAGAAGGCCACUGAUACGGCCGCGUACAUCAAGGACUCGGUAACGGGCGCAGCAGGAGGCACGGCGGACAAGGCCCGCGACACCACCGAGCAAACAAUGGGCAGGGCCAAGGACGCCACCGGAGACACGGGGAACAGGACCGGGAGCAUGGCCGCCCAGGUGAAGGACGCGACAGGAGCCAUGGUGCAGAAGGCCGGCGACACGGCCGCGUACAUCAAGGACUCGGUGACGGGCGCGGCGGGAGGCGCCGUGGACAAGACCCGGGACGCCACGUCGCAGGUCGCGCAGAAGGCAGGGGAGGCGACGAACAGGGCGGUGGAGACCGGCAAAAGCGCCACCGGCGGCGGCACGACCAAGGCGAAGGGUGAAGGCACCGAAGACACCAAGAUCGUGGAAGACGUGCUGGAGGUGGUGGGCGCGACCGUGGAGGCGGUGGGCGCGACCGUGACCGGGCUAGCGCAGCACACCAAGGGCAUCGUCGCCGGCGAAGAGGAGCUCAUCCCGGUCGAGGGGGAGGCCGGGAAGGUCGCCGGAGCCGGCGAGGGCAGGGUGAAAUCCGAGUGA
rnacentral:rRNA from 1 species